CCUACGGGAGGCAGCAGUGGGGAAUAUUGCACAAUGGGGGAAACCCUGAUGCAGCGACGCCGCGUGAGUGAAGAAGUAUCUCGGUACGUAAAGCUCUAUCAGCCGGGAAGAAAAUGACGGUACCUGACUAAGAAGCCCCGGCUAAAUACGUGCCCGGAGCCGCGGUAAUACGUAGGGGGCAAGCGUUAUCCGGAUUUACUGGGUGUAAAGGGGGCGUAGACGGCAGCACAAGUCUGGAGUGAAAUCCCGGGGCUUAACCCCGGAACUGCGUUGGAAACUGUGCGGCUGGAGUGCAGGAGGGGUAUGCGGAAUUCGUAGUGUAGCGGUGAAAUGCGUAGAUAUUGGGCGGAACACCGGUGGCGAAGGCGGCUGACUGGA
rnacentral:rRNA from 1 species